rnacentral:rRNA from 1 species
CCUACGGGAGGCAGCAGUGAGGAAUAUUGGUCAAUGGACGCAAGUCUGAACCAGCCAUGCCGCGUGCAGGAAGACGGCUCUAUGAGUUGUAAACUUCUUUUGUACGGGGGUAAACGCAGAUACGCGUAUCUGUCUGAAAGUAUCGUACGAAUAAGGAUCGGCUAACUCCGUGCCAGCAGCCGCGGUAAUACGGAGGAUUCAAGCGUUAUCCGGAUUUAUUGGGUUUAAAGGGUGCGUAGGCGGUCGGAUAAGUUAGAGGUGAAAACCCGAGGCUUAACUUCGGAAUUGCCUCUGAUACUGUCCGGCUAGAGAGUAGUUGCGGUAGGCGGAAUGUAUGGUGUAGCGGUGAAAUGCUUAGAGAUCAUACAGAACACCGAUUGCGAAGACAGCUUACCAAGCUACUUCUGACGUUGAGGCACGAAAGCGUGGGGAGCAAACAGGAUUAGAUACCCUAGUAGUC